rnacentral:rRNA from 1 species
GAUGAACGCUGGCGGCGUGCUUAACACAUGCAAGUCGAACGAUGAAGCCCAGCUUGCUGGGUGGGUGAGGGGCGAACGGGUGAGUAACACGUGAGUAAUCUGCUCUUAAGGCUGGUAUAAGCCUGGGAAACUGGGUCUAAUACCGUAUAGGAGCGUCCACCGCCUGGUGGUGUUUGGAGAGAUUUAUCGGUUUUGGAUGGACUCGCGGCCUAUCAGCUUGUUGGUGAGGUAAUGGCUCACCAAGGCGACGACGGGUAGCCGGCCUGAGAGGGUGACCGGCCACACUGGGACUGAGACACGGCCCAGACUCCUACGGGAGGCAGCAGUGGGGAAUAUUGCACAAUGGGCGCAAGCCUGAUGCAGCGACGCCGCGUGAGGGAUGACGGCCUUCGGGUUGUAAACCUCUUUCAGUAGGGAAGAAGCGAAAGUGACGGUACCUGCAGAAGAAGCACCGGCUAACUACGUG